UGAACGUAUAAACAUACGUUAGGAAAGUCCGGGCAUCACAGAGCAGGAUAGCUGUUAACGGCAGCCGAGGGCGACCUUAGGGCAAGUGCAACAGAGAUAUACCGCCGGAGUUUCUCCGGUAAGGGUGGAAAGGCGAGGUAAGAGCUCACCAAGGUAAAAGUAAUUUUACCUUUAUGUAAACCCUAUCCGAUGCAACGUCUUUUUGGAACAAUGCGUUAUUGUCUGCUCGGCAGGCGCAUUGCAAUGACGGCUUGAGCGGUUCGGCGACGAUCCGCCCAGAUAGAUUUCCGCACACGACAAAACCCGGCUUAUCGGCUUAGUCG
rnacentral:RNase_P_RNA from 1 species